UCAAAACUGAAUUAGAAUUUGAUAAAGUUUCAAACCAAGAGGAGAGAAACAAUUUUUCCAUCGAAUUAACUAAUAAAUUAGAGGUAUUUAAGAAAGAUCUACUAGCAUUCAAAAAGAAGAAACUUUUACAGGUUGUUCAGGACUAUAAGACUGAUAAUGUGUAUAGGUGGUUGAAGGGUGAUUAUUCAUUUCGGAGACCACGCAAAUUUAGAUUUCAUACACAAGGUAUAAGAUCCUCUUCCUCUGGAAGCGGUGCUGAUCCAAUUGAAAGUGACUCUUCCGGUGAACGACAUAAGUCUGGUUUUUUAUCCAAGGCCAAACAAAACCGUUCAAGAAAAAAACUAGGAGAGGGAAGUCAAAGGGAAAACAGUCAUACAUCACAGGAGGGACCUCAAGGGACCAAUUUGAGCCCGGUCAAAACUCGCAGCAAGAAAGACAAAUAAUUUUCAACCUGUCGUCUACAACAUUGACAGACACACAGACUUACUGAGGAGCAAGCUGAUCCAGAAGCUGAGCAACAGGCCUCCACAAUGUCAAGGCAACUCAAAUUAAAAUCCACUUUCAUGCCACCUACUCAAAAUAAGUCUGGAGAUGAAUCUUCCCUGGUCGCCUUUAUUGAUUAUCUAAAUAAUAUUCCAUCCACUAUUCGUUUUACGGCAUCUUGGA